AGUGAACGCUGGCGGUAGGCCUAACACAUGCAAGUCGAACGGCAGCACAGUAAGAGCUUGCUCUUACGGGUGGCGAGUGGCGGACGGGUGAGGAAUACAUCGGAAUCUACUUUUUCGUGGGGGAUAACGUAGGGAAACUUACGCUAAUACCGCAUACGACCUACGGGUGAAAGCAGGGGAUCUUCGGACCUUGCGCGAGUGAAUGAGCCGAUGUCGGAUUAGCUAGUUGGCGGGGUAAAGGCCCACCAAGGCGACGAUCCGUAGCUGGUCUGUGAGGAUGAUCAGCCACACUGGAACUGAGACACGGUCCAGACUCCUACGGGAGGCAGCAGUGGGGAAUAUUGGACAAUGGGCGCAAGCCUGAUCCAGCCAUACCGCGUGGGUGAAGAAGGCCUUCGGGUUGUAAAGCCCUUUUGUUGGGAAAGAAAAGCAGCAGGUUAAUACCCCGCUGUUCUGACGGUACCCAAAGAAUAAGCACCGGCUAACUUCGUG
rnacentral:rRNA from 1 species